UACGUAGGGCGCAAGCGUUGUCCGGAAUUAUUGGGCGUAAAGAGCGUGUAGGCGGCUUGGAAGGUCAGCUGUGAAAACUCGAGGCUCAACCUCGAGACGUCGGUUGAAACCACCUGGCUAGAGUCCGGAAGAGGAGAGUGGAAUUCCCGGUGUAGCGGUGAAAUGCGCAGAUAUCGGGAAGAACACCCGUGGCGAAGGCGGCUCUCUGGGACGGUACUGACGCUGAGACGCGAAAGCGUGGGGAGCGAACAGG
rnacentral:rRNA from 1 species